AUUAAAAACAAAAAUAAAAUCGUAGUUUUCUUUUCACAGUUGCUUCCGUUCGUCUUUUCCUCCUUUCCUCACUUUCCACUCUGCAUCUUCAUUCUCUAGUAUCAUAUCAGUUAUGCAGUUCAUCUCUCUCUCUCCUUCGAAAUUUCCCUCAGAAAAACAAUCAACUGCCUCCCCUCUGCCGCUGAAAACUCGUGGUAUUCCAGCGAUUUCAAUGAAACCUUCUCACUCUCCCUCCCAUUUACGUCCACCGCGUCCAACGCCACAACAACCACCACCUGCUCCUUCAUAUCACAAGAACUCACACCGACAUUAUUUUCCACCAUCUCUUCUUCCUCUCUACCAGAAUCAGAAGCCAAGUCCUGGAUCCAUUCUAGACUUUGCAGCAGAAACAUCUUCGACAAUCAGUUAGAGCCCUAAUGUAUACACUAUGCAAAAUCCAUGGUCUUCUUGUUUGAGUGACUUACAUGACUCUUACUAGUGCUUCCCAAGAAGUCAGCUUAGACAAGACACAAUAAUGGAGAUAUGUCAUCCUCUCUCAGGGACGUAUACAUAGUUACGCAUAUUAUUCAUCAAAAUAGAACUAUUUAUUCCCUUUGCCUCUAAGACAUGUUUGGCUAGAGUUAUGUUCUGCUGUUCAACGUCUUCGGUUCCCUCUAUCUCAGGUUUCAGUUUACUCGAUUACAGACGUUAGGGUCAUGCCUCUUUACGUUUUUAAGAGGAAGGAUACGCGAAGCGUUUUUUUCCGUACUCGGUCGAUCCGGAGCAAGUGAAUGCUAAUCUGGAGUCUUAUCUUAUUUUAAUUAUAUAUAAAGCAUUCUCGUAUUGGUAAUUGACUAGUUGUUGUGGUUGUUCAUGUUCUAAAAAAGUAAUUUUGAUAUUCUAGAUUUUGGACUACCAUGGAUUAUUGAGAUCCAUGGAUUUUGAAACAGUGAGGAAGAAACUCAUGGUCAGCUUUUAGUUGACUUUGGGACAACUUGAGGUUAGUUGUAUGUUUAGUAGUGGUUCAUUUAGGAUACCAUACUGAUUGGAUUCUGCUUUUAUUGUGACUGGUAACUGAAAUUUUUUAGUUGGUUCUUUUGGUAAUAAGUUUAUGUGAGUAUCUUGUUAACUAAUCUUUGAGUAUAUCUCAUUUUUGGUUAAUUUAAUUUUCAGCAAAAGCAGUGUCGUUUCUAAGUUCUUUUGUGUUACAACUAUUCUCUUCAUCAUCAAUGUUAUGCGCUCUUGGCUCUGUAAGUUAUGUGCUCUUGCCCUGUAUGUUCUUUUGCUGUAAUGUUUGUCUGCCGGAUAGUAUAACUAUCAAUUACUUCAUGUUUUGUAAUAGAGUUGGUUGUCUUAUACCUUUUCAUAUUUGAUGAGCAGUUGUCACGUGCCUCUGAGCAUUCAAAAAUGCUAAUUCGGUAUGACCUUGACAUUAGUUAGCAGUUAUAUCAUUGAGGGUCAUGUUUGUUAUCUAUCAAUGUGUGACCCGGCCUAUACAAAGAGUCCUAGAACUUAUGCGUUCAUUAAGUGUGGUAUGUUUUUCAGUUUACUCACUGUUUGGUGAAUUCUUUUGAUUAAUCACUUCAAGAUAUUGUGCCACUAAUAAAUUGAUGAAAUUUAUUGUUUUUCCUCCGAAUAUACAUUUGUAAAGAGAACAAAGAAGUUGUACCAAGAAUACGAUAAAGAGGUUUUAAUUCUAUU